rnacentral:rRNA from 1 species
AGAGUUUGAUCCUGGCUCAGGGCUAACGCUGGCGGCGUGUCUUAGCCAUGCAAGUCGAGCGGGCCUGUGGGUUUACCUACAGGUCAGCGGCGGACGGCGGAGUAACACGUAGCUAACCUACCCCCUGGACGGGGAUAACCACUCGAAAGGGUGGCUAAUACCCGAUGGAGUCCCUAUCUGAGAUGGUAGGGAUGAAAGGUGGGCCUCUGCGGAAGCAAGCUCAUGCCGGGGGAGGGGGCUGCGGCCUAUCAGGUAGUUGGUGGGGUAAUGGCCCACCAAGCCUAUGACGGGUAGCCGGCCUGAGAGGGUGACCGGCCCGAGGGGCACUGAGACACGGGCCCCACUCCUACGGGAGGCAGCAGGCUAGAAAAUUGGGCAAUGGGGGAAACCCUGACCCAGUGACGCCGCGUGCAGGAAGAAGCCCUUCGGGGUGUAAACUGCUGUCGUGCGGGGCGAAGGGUCCAUAGGCGAAUAGCUUAUGGGCUUGACGGUACCGCAGGAGGAAGCCCAGGCUAACCUCGUGCCAGCAGCCGCGGUAAUACGGGGUGGGCGAGCGUUGCCCGGAAUUACUGGGUUUAAAGGGGGUGUAGGCGGUCCGGAGAGUCAGGUGUGUAAUCCAACCGCUCAACGGUUGGGCUGCACCUGAUACUUCCGGGCUAGAGGGCGGUAGAGGAGAGCGGAACUCCCGGUGUAGCGGUGAAAUGCGUAGAUAUCGGGAGGAACGCCGGUGGCGAAGGCGGCUCUCUGGGCCGUUCCUGACGCUGAGGCCCGAAAGCUGGGGGAGCGAAAGGGAUUAGAUACCCCUGUAGUCCCAGCCGUAAACGAUGGGCACUAGGUGUUCCUCCGAAGGGGGGAGUGCCGACGGGAAACCAUUAAGUGCCCCACCUGGGGAGUACGCCCGCAAAGGUGAAACUCAAGGAAUUGACGG